rnacentral:lncRNA from 1 species
GCAAACUCUAACGUCUCUUUCAUCUCUAGAGUAGAUUCAGAACAUCCACUGGAGGGUAAACAUCUUCUCUAGUUUCCUGUCACCAGAUACUUAGGUGGCACAGAUGUCUGCAAGGCCAUUCUUGUGUCCUUGAGCCCCUCUGGCCCAACACUGGCUGAAGCCCAUCUUCCAGGCCCUGAACAAUUAAAGGCCAUAAGCUCAGAGUUGGUUUUGAUCAGUUUCUACCCAUGCAGGUUCAGGCAAGCGAAGGCAUGCCUGAGGCAGCAGUCGCUGUGGCUGCUCCCAGAUCUCAUCGAUCUCGUCGCCAGACCCUCAUCUGCUUUUGUCCCGAAGCCUGAGACUAGGCCUCCUAUCUCGGAAGCUCCUCUGACUCCUUCACACCAUCAUCUGCUUACUAAUCUUCAUAGACAGCUUGAUUUCUCAUCUGCUUAAGCAACUAGUUUUUUCUCUUCUCUUUACACUUAGUUCCUAAACUCCCACCCUUGUAAAAAGCAAUUUUAUGUUUAAAAUGUCUUAUCUCAUUAUAUUAUAAUAAAUUAAAUUAAUAAAAUCGGAUUUUAAAAUA